rnacentral:rRNA from 1 species
AUUGAACGCUGGCGGCAGGCCUAACACAUGCAAGUCGAGCGGAUGAAGGGAGCUUGCUCCUGGAUUCAGCGGCGGACGGGUGAGUAAUGCCUAGGAAUCUGCCUGGUAGUGGGGGAUAACGUCCGGAAACGGGCGCUAAUACCGCAUACGUCCUGAGGGAGAAAGUGGGGGAUCUUCGGACCUCACGCUAUCAGAUGAGCCUAGGUCGGAUUAGCUAGUUGGUGGGGUAAAGGCCUACCAAGGCGACGAUCCGUAACUGGUCUGAGAGGAUGAUCAGUCACACUGGAACUGAGACACGGUCAAGACUCCUACGGGAGGCAGCAGUGGGGAAUAUUGGACAAUGGGCGAAAGCCUGAUACAGCCAUGCCGAGUGUGUGAAGAAGGUCUUCGGAUUGUAAAGAACUUUAAGUUGGGAGGAAGGGCAGUAAGUUAAUACCUUGCUGUUUUGACGUUACCAACAGAAUAAGCACCGGCUAACUUCGUG